rnacentral:rRNA from 1 species
UACGUAGGGUGCAAGCGUUGUCCGGAAUUAUUGGGCGUAAAGAGCUCGUAGGCGGUCUGUUGCGUCGGCUGUGAAAACCCGAGGCUCAACCUCGGGCCUGCAGCCGAUACGGGCAGACUAGAGUUCGGUAGGGGAGACUGGAAUUCCUGGUGUAGCGGUGAAAUGCGCAGAUAUCAGGAGGAACACCGGUGGCGAAGGCGGGUCUCUGGGCCGAUACUGACGUGAGGAGCGAAAGCGUGGGGAGCGAACAGG